rnacentral:rRNA from 1 species
UACGGAGGGUGCAAGCGUUAUCCGGAAUGAUUGGGCGUAAAGCGUCCGCAGGUGGCUAUGUAAGUCUGCUGUUAAAGAGUGAGGCUCAACCUCAUAAGAGCAGUGGAAACUACAUGGCUAGAGUGCGUUCGGGGCAGAGGGAAUUCCUGGUGUAGCGGUGAAAUGCGUAGAGAUCAGGAAGAACACCGGUGGCGAAAGCGCUCUGCUAGGCCGCAACUGACACUCAUGGACGAAAGCUAGGGGAGCGAAUGGG